CAUAUUAAUGUUAAAAAACCUCAUAAAGUGAAAUUUUCAUGCCAUGGGACCAUUAAUGUUUUAUACAACCAGGUAAUCACUCAAUAUGCUCUCUGGGCAAAUACAAUCAAUCAACUUUAGAAUGCCAUUGCCAAUUAAACUUGACAUAGACACAAAUAAUUGUUUUUUUUCUCCAAAAUCUGAUAGUUAUUUUUGGGUUUUCUGAGGUGUUAUUGGAGCUGGCUCACCAACAUCCUUGUUUAGAUUUUUUUCCAGCUGUGAGCAGCUCUUUCAUUUCAUUUCAUUUCGUUGCUUUGUGGGAGAAUAUUGUCUACAACAGUACACUCACAAAUCUAGUGCUUUUUAGUAUGAGUCCUGUCUAUUUAGCCAUGCUGGUUUCGGUCAGUCCACCACUUUGAUUCAGACUGAAAUAUCCCAACAAACAAAUUUUCAUCUGCUGACCUUGGUGAUUCCGUGACAUCUUCCUCUAGCGCCACCAUGAGGUUUACAUUUGUUUUUUUUCAGUGAAAUGUCUCAAGAAUUAUUGGAAAUUUGCCCCUUUCGGGUUAUCCUGCACGGCAGCUGGAUUCUCACGAGAUCACGCUACAAUCGUGUGAUCACAUAUCACACGAUAAUCCAUACGUCAUGCUUCAAGUAAUGCUUUUUGUGUCUGAACUCCCAACUAACUGAACCAAUCAGCGUCCGGUGAGGAGCUACUAGCAGCUACGGGCGUGGUUUAGGAGCGUGUGACAGCCGCGACUGUUCGUUCAAAACAACCAGGGGUGUCAGACUGGGAGUGGAAAGGGCCUGAGUGCUCAGGGCCCCUCAUGUGAGGAGGACCCAAAAAGAUGCUUGAAUGAAUAGCUGUGGAUGUGGGGAGAGGCCCAUAGAAUAUGUCUUUCUACAGGGCCCAGAACGUUAUGCUACGCCCCUGAAAACAACAAUGGUGGACGUGAUAGACGGAUGGUUCAUCGAAUCACCUGCCAGGUAUUUUUUUUUAAAGUGCCUGCCCUUUCUAAACAGUUUCCAAUGACGGCUUCUCAGAUCAUUCAGUUUAUCUCUCAGGACCAUGAGGUAAAAUUUUCUUAUGACCAUCUACUGCAAAACUAAUUACAUUUCUGUCAAUCUGUUGUCCUAUCCAUGCAAAAACAGUUAGUCAAUACAUUGCAAUUUUAAGCUCUUGUGCCGUGCCACUUUUCAUGUAAUACCACCUGUAUUAGGGCACAGGGCACUGCACAAGAGCCUGAAAAUCGUGCCCAAUGUUCAGCCAAUUUCCAACACUAUUUAUUUCUGAUAAUCCCACUUACUGUGCAAAUCUUUAUAUGUGGCUCUUGAAAAGCAAAUCACAGUAAUCAUCUGUCACAAGGUCAGUCCUGCUUUUCCCCCAUUCUACUCCUGUCACUCCUUUCAGCCACCUCCUCAUUUCCGCAGCACCCUGCAGUGCCAUUUUCCACCCAUCCACCAGAUGCCCUAAGACUUUUCCACUCAUCCCAAUCAACUGACCCUCUCAUUUACCUGCUCACCUGUUUCCACUUUCUCUCAUCAGCCCUGCAGUGUAUUAUCGGCGCAUUUCAUUUUCCCUGCCAGGUUGCCAGUGUUUCUACAUGGCUUGUUUUCCAGCGACCUGAACCUGAAUCCUAAACCCUGGAAUCUGGAACCUGGAACCUGUACCUGCCUAGUCAGCGCUGGGGAGAAUAACAGCAGGUUGCAGUGCCAGAGGUGAGCAAGGUGACAGCAGUGAAGCAGACGUUCGCGUUGCUGCUACUCCAUUAUCGUAUUAAACCCCAAGCAGUGAGGCGCCACACAGGGAGCUGCAAACAUCUCCUCCUCCCCGCCGAUGAGCCUUUGCUCAACUGCCAGCGUCGUCAGUAGUCGAGCAAAGCAAACUGGUGGCGCAGCCAGCCUGCAAAUUACUGCCAAGGCAGUUGGUGUCAGUGAGGGGAACAAGUUGUCAACGCUGCACGUCUCUCAACAUCUCUGUUUCUUCGGGAUAAAUCAACUGAACAUGUUUUUAAAUCCCCUUCCUCCUCACUUGUAAACAUGACUUUUGUUUGUAUGAACGGAGCAUACGUGUUUAGGUGAGCCAGGCACGGCGUCAUUGUGAAUGGCUGAGCUAAAUCUAUCCACCGGAGAAUAAUGUAUACCCAUGCGUGCUGAAUGGUUUUGAUUAUGGAACAAUCUGUUACUCGCGUUGCAUGGUUCAUGGCAAACAUCCUGCCAUAUAUCAAACAACUGUCUGAAUCUGCUUGGCCGGUCACAGAUGUCCAAAUCGCUCUUUCAUCCUGUUUAUCUAGAAAUGUAUCUCUGAUUUACUCUGGUGGCUCAAUUAUAGGCACAUAUGUUUACAUCCACAAGCUGUGAUUGAUUAUUUUGAUAAGAGUUUUGUCCCUGAGGUAGUUUGAGGAGUAUAAUGUUGUGCUGCAGCGCAAUGAAAUGCCAUCAUAUUGUGUCUUUAUUCUGAAACCUUUUACGUUUAAAUAUACUGCACAAGAUUGAUCAAAAAAGACUUCAAAUUACACUGCACAAUGUAAAACCA